AUGCGCAAGGGCCUGGCCUCCCUUGUGUUGCUCUCUGUUUGGUACAUCUGGCUUCAUCGUAACGCCUGUAUUUUUGACAACGCCCACCCCUCCAUCCCACUGUUGCUUUAGGCCAUCAAAGAUGAUGCACGCUCCUGGGCCGUUGCCGGAGCGAAGGAUAUUGCUAGCUUCAUGCCGCCUUGA
rnacentral:rRNA from 1 species